GCUCGCUAGUUGCAAUAUAGGGAAUGUGAAGGUGACGUCACGCCGUGUUGCAUUAUGGGUCCUCCGCCAUAUUUGCAGGAUCGCGCCCGCGCCCUAUCCCGCUGUAUUUGAAUUCGUGUGUUGGAGGCUGUGUUUGGAUUUUCAGUCGAGAUUUUAAUAAACGUCGAUAUGGUUGGUCAGUACUGCUCGAUCAUAGCAGGUCACACGAUCGUUCAGGGAGGAAACUGAACAACGGAAUACGUUUUUUCAGCUUUCCUUCCUGGAAAAAACAACAAGGGAAGCAGGUGCAGGAGCUGACGAAAAGACGCCGGAUCGCGUGGGUUGCCGCAAUCAGGAGAAAAAAUUUUACUUUUCAAAACACCCCUGCAUCAGCGAGAGUGUGUUCGCUGCAUUUUCAGUCACGACAACCAUCAUUUGAAAUGCUGGACACUCAUCCUGACUGGGCACCAACUUUUGUAAAAGUUGUACAAAGCAAGAGAUGUUGUGUAUUGUAUAUUCCUUGAUGACUUGUAGGAUAGUUGAUAAAUGAUGUUGAAUUUGUGGUUCAUGUUAGCAGAUGAUAAAGCCAGGCCACAUUGCAUGAAUCAAAUCAAUUAUUUAUUUUGUUUUCAAUGAACAAUUUGCUUUGAUAUUGUGUACAUCUUUUACAUUCCUUUUUAAAAUGUUUGUGACUCAAGUUUUUAUAUAACUGCUUAAUAAAUACAUUAAGUGACU